UAAGAAAGUAAAGGAAAAUAAAUGAGAUCAUCCAUUUGUUGGCAGCUUGGUCAAUUGAGCCAUGUUGCUCAUCAUGGGCAGCAUCAGUUUUUAAAAAAAAUAAAACUGGCUUUUGGUAAGUUUGUACGUGUGUUGUGAAAUCUUGGGAAAAUUUGAGAAGGUUUCAACUUUCAGGUGCUGAGGGAGUCAGAUAUAUCAACUUGUUGUUAGAAUGUGGUUGUGGGAAUGAUAUUGGUGAUGAAAACCCUGAGAAGCUUGCUUCUCCUACUUAUUUCUUAAACUACCGGCCAUUAAAAUUCGAAUUGGCCUAGUUCGAAUUGAAGCAGAAAUGUAUUUCAGGUGACGCUCUAAACUCGCCAACCGAAAUCUCUAUCCAUUGCUCUCUUGGGAUUUCCUUCAACUUAACUUCAU